rnacentral:rRNA from 1 species
AGAGUUUGAUCAUGGCUCAGAACGAACGCUGGCGGCAGGCCUAACACAUGCAAGUCGAACGGAUGUAGCAAUACAUUAGUGGCGCACGGGAGAGUAACGCGUGGGAACCUACCUUUUGGUUUGGGAUAACGUCGGGAAACUGACGCUAAUACCAGAUAAGCCCUCCGGGGGAAAGAUUUAUCGCCGAUAGAUGGGCCCGCGUUAGAUUAGCUAGUUGGUGAGGUAAUGGCUCACCAAGGCGACGAUCUAUAACUGGUCUGAGAGGAUGACCAGUCUCACUGGGACUGAGACACGGCCCAGACUCCUACGGGAGGCAGCAGUGGGGAAUAUUGGACAAUGGGGGCAACCCUGAUCCAGCCAUGCCGCGUGAAUGAUGAAGGCCUUCGGGUUGUAAAGUUCUUUUGGUGGGGACGAUGAUGACGGUACCCACAGAAUAAGCUCCGGCUAACUUCGUGCCAGCAGCCGCGGUAAUACGAAGGGAGCUAGCGUUGUUCGGAAUUACUGGGCGUAAAAGGGCGCGUAGGCGGUUUAACAAGUUGGGUGUGAAAGCCCAGGGCUCAACCCUGGAACUGCACUCAAGACUGUUUUACUUGAAUUCGGUAGAGGUUGGUGGAAUUCCCAGUGUAGAGGUGAAAUUCGUAGAUAUUGGGAAGAAUAUCCGUGGCGAAGGCGGCCAACUGGACCGACAUUGACGCUGAGGCGCGAAAGCGUGGGGAGCAAACAGGAUUAGAUACCCUAGUAGUCC